rnacentral:tRNA from 1 species
GCGGCUGUAGCUCAGUGGAUAGAGCAUUGGUCUUCGGAACCAAGGGCCGGGGGUUCGAGUCCCUCCAGCCGCGCCA